GACGAACGCUGGCGGCGUGCCUAAUACAUGCAAGUGGGACGCAAGGAAACACACUGUGCUUGCACACCGUGUUUUCUUGAGUCGCGAACGGGUGAGUAACGCGUAGGUAACCUGCCUAUUAGCGGGGGAUAACUAUUGGAAACGAUAGCUAAUACCGCAUAAUAUUAAUUAUUGCAUGAUAAUUGAUUGAAAGAUGCAAGCGCAUCACUAGUAGAUGGACCUGCGUUGUAUUAGCUAGUUGGUAAGGUAAGAGCUUACCAAGGCGACGAUACAUAGCCGACCUGAGAGGGUGAUCGGCCACACUGGGACUGAGACACGGCCCAGACUCCUACGGGAGGCAGCAGUAGGGAAUCUUCGGCAAUGGACGAAAGUCUGACCGAGCAACGCCGCGUGAGUGAAGAAGGUUUUCGGAUCGUAAAGCUCUGUUGUAAGUCAAGAACGUGUGUGAGAGUGGAAAGU
rnacentral:rRNA from 1 species